UUGAUAGGCAAUUUCAUCGAAGAUUAAUGAUGAUGAAAAAAAAUUUGCUAAUUAAAUGUUUAUUUUCAACAAAAUUGGAAUAAUAUCAAAACACUUACCAUUCUUGUGAGUUGUAGUAAACUUAUGUAAAUAAUAAGUGGCUUCUAAAUUCCAUGGAAACAGGAACAAAUUGAUUCCAGAUUUUGUAAAAUUUCUGAUAAGAAUCAAAUUGUAUAUAUUAUUGAUUUGAAAGAGUAAGGCAAUAUCAAUAAUCAACUUUAAUCCAUCCAUUCAUUUUAAAGAUAAAAUCCAUCAUCAUAACCAUUUAAAUAUUUUACUUUACGCAGAUAUUUCCUCUAUUAAAUUAUCAUGAUGAAAGUGAAAUUAAUUUCAAUUUCCUUGACUUGUUUAGUAAACUUUAUUCAUUUGGUAGCAUCAAAUCCACCAAUACAAGCCCGAGAAAAUUUUUGUCAUGAUGAUUCCAAAUGUCCAGGUUUUCAAAUAUGUGAAAAUUAUAUCUGUCAAGAUGUGUCAUUCAAUCAUACAUCGAAACAUGAUGGAUUGGUGCUUGAAGGCACAUUAUUUUUAUUGGUCGUCAUCCUCGGAAGCAUCUUAAAUUGUGUUAUUUAUUGUUUUGCUUGUAUUGGAUGUUAUCAUUGUUGUUGUGAAACACGAGCACCAAAAUAUCCUGUUCAAAUAAUACAGCCACAUGGAGAAAUGAUUUAAACAAGAUAACUUUGAAAUUUUCAAUAAUCGAAAUGAAUUUAUCAUUUCACAAGUCUUAUGGAAUUGAUCAAAAUGUGGUCCAGGUAAUACAUUAAUCUUUUUGGUUGCUGUUGUUAUUAUCGAUUAAAUACCUGUUAAUUGCUAUAGUUACAAAUUAAAUAAAAAAAAUUUGUUAUUUGAAA